CCAAAUAUCCUAAAUAUCUUAAAAGCACCAGAGCCUGCCAUAUCUUAGAAGCUAAGCAAUGUCAGUUCUGGUUAGUACUUGGAUGGGAAAUUGCCAACAAAUAACAGGUGCUGUUGGCU
rnacentral:rRNA from 11 species